rnacentral:rRNA from 1 species
UACAGAGGUCUCAAGCGUUGUUCGGAUUCAUUGGGCGUAAAGGGCUCGUAGGCGGCCAACUAAGUCAGACGUGAAAUCCCUCGGCUUAACCGGGGAACUGCGUCUGAUACUGGAUGGCUUGAGGUUGGGAGAGGGAUGCGGAAUUCCAGGUGUAGCGGUGAAAUGCGUAGAUAUCUGGAGGAACACCGGUGGCGAAGGCGGCAUCCUGGACCAAUUCUGACGCUGAGGAGCGAAAGCCAGGGGAGCAAACGGG